rnacentral:rRNA from 1 species
UACGUAGGGGGCAAGCGUUAUUCGGAAUUAUUGGGCGUAAAGGGCGCGUAGGCGGCCUGGCAAGUGGAAGGUGAAAUCCCUCGGCUUAACCGAGGAACUGCCUCCCAAACUGCUUGGCUUGAGACCGGGAGAGGUGAGUGGAAUUCCCAGUGUAGCGGUGAAAUGCGUAGAUAUUGGGAGGAACACCAGUGGCGAAGGCGGCUCACUGGACCGGAACUGACGCUGAGGCGCGAAAGCGUGGGGAGCAAACGGG